AGAGUUUGAUCCUGGCUCAGGAUGAACGCUGGCGGCGUGCUUAACACAUGCAAGUCGAACGGGAAUUACUUUAUUGAAACUUCGGUCGAUUUAAUUUAAUUCUAGUGGCGGACGGGUGAGUAACGCGUGGGUAACCUGCCUUAUACAGGGGGAUAACAGUCAGAAAUGGCUGCUAAUACCGCAUAAGCGCACAGAGCUGCAUGGCUCAGUGUGAAAAACUCCGGUGGUAUAAGAUGGACCCGCGUUGGAUUAGCUUGUUGGUGGGGUAACGGCCCACCAAGGCGACGAUCCAUAGCCGGCCUGAGAGGGUGAACGGCCACAUUGGGACUGAGACACGGCCCAGACUCCUACGGGAGGCAGCAGUGGGGAAUAUUGCACAAUGGGGGAAACCCUGAUGCAGCGACGCCGCGUGAAGGAAGAAGUAUCUCGGUAUGUAAACUUCUAUCAGCAGGGAAGAUAGUGACGGUACCUGACUAAGAAGCCCCGGCUAACUACGUGCCAGCAGCCGCGGU
rnacentral:rRNA from 1 species